rnacentral:rRNA from 1 species
AUACGGAGGAUGCAAGCGUUAUCCGGAUUUAUUGGGUUUAAAGGGUGCGUAGGCGGUUUGCUAAGCGGGAGGUGAAAUGCCGGCGCUCAACGUCGGAAGUGCCUCCCGAACUGGUGGACUUGAAUGACUCUGCCGUGGGAGGAAUGUGUAGUGUAGCGGUGAAAUGCUUAGAGAUUACACAGAACACCGAUUGCGAAGGCAUCUCACGAAGGGUUGAUUGACGCUGAGGCACGAAAGCGUGGGGAUCAAACAGGAUUAGAUACCCUGGUAGUCCACGCAGUAAACGAUGAGUACUAAGUGUCGGGUAACCGGUGCUGAAGUUAACACAUUAAAUACUCCGCCUGAGUAGUAUGGUCGCAAGGCUGAAACUCAAAGGAAUUGACGGG